UACGGAGGAUCCAAGCGUUAUCCGGAUUCACUGGGUUUAAAGGGUGCGUAGGUGGAAUGACAAGUCAGUGGUGAAAACCUGUAGCUUAACUGUAGAACUGCCAUUGAUACUGUUAUUCUUGAGUACAUUUGAUGUGAGUGGAAUGUGUCGUGUAGCGGUGAAAUGCUUAGAUAUGACACAGAACACCAAUUGCGAAGGCAGCUCACAAAACUGUAACUGACACUGAGGUGCGAAAGCGUGGGGAGCAAACAGG
rnacentral:rRNA from 1 species